GCAAGUCGAGCGCAGGAAGCUGACGGAACUCUUCGGAGGGAAGGCAGUGGAAUGAGCGGCGGACGGGUGAGUAACACGUAAGGAACCUGCCUCAAGGAUUGGGAUAACUCCGAGAAAUCGGAGCUAAUACCGGAUAGUUCAACGGACCGCAUGGUCCGCUGAUGGAAGGCGCUCCGGCGUCACCUUGAGAUGGCCUUGCGGUGCAUUAGCUAGUUGGUGGGGUAACGGCCCACCAAGGCGACGAUGCAUAGCCGACCUGAGAGGGUGAUCGGCCACACUGGGACUGAGACACGGCCCAGACUCCUACGGGAGGCAGCAGUAGGGAAUCUUCCACAAUGGACGAAAGUCUGAUGGAGCAACGCCGCGUGAGUGAUGAAGGUUUUCGGAUCGUAAAACUCUGUUGUAAGGGAAGAACACGUACGAGAGGGAAUGCUCGUACCUUGACGGUACCUUACGAGAAAGCCACGGCUAACUACGUGCCAGCGGCCGCGGUAAUACGUAGGUGGCAAGCGUUGUCCGGAAUUAUUGGGCGUAAAGCGCGCGCAGGCGGCCUCUUAAGUCUGAUGUGAAAGCCCCCGGCUCAACCGGGGAGGGCCAUUGGAAACUGGGAGGCUUGAGUACAGAAGAGAAGAGUGGAAUUCCACGUGUAGCGGUGAAAUGCGUAGAGAUGUGGAGGAACACCAGUGGCGAAGGCGACUCUUUGGUCUGUAACUGACGCUGAGGCGCGAAAGCGUGGGGAGCAGACAGGAUUAGAUACCCUGGUAGUCCACGCCGUAAACGAUGAGUGCUAGGUGUUG
rnacentral:rRNA from 1 species